rnacentral:misc_RNA from 1 species
AGUCAAACUACCGGCUACGCAGCAUCCAUACCGAGCCAAUCAAAACUUGGGUAAAACUUUUAGACAUCCGACCCACUCAGCUCAGUCUGGUUGUAGAGCUCUUUGAGCACAGGACAACCGACCCGUAUAACCUUCUCAAGAUUUGUUCACGUUUUCAAACCAGUUUCUGCAACACGUGUUAACAGGACAUACGGAAUAUAUGUGCCGGCACUCAAUAGUUUUCUGUAGUAUAACCAGUUUAGGAAUAAUACAGAAAGCAAUAAUCUAUUUUGGUUAUAUCUAAACGUAAAAAUCGCGAGGAAGUCGACUAAAGUGAAGAGACGACCAUCACAAGUCAACAUCUGACAGCAGUGGCAGUGACGUAUUCGUCAACGUAGAAGAAAACAUGAGUUCUUGGAGAUCCCGCUUCAACGAUGAGAACUACACAAAAUAUCGAGUGACGGUAACUCCAGUAUUGACGCCAGGGCAAGAUUGUUACAUACCGGGUACAGAACAGCUGCUUCAAGACGGGACUGUUGUCAAGACAAGAUCCUUCUACAAUGGCACGUCAAAUGUCACCCUUUCAGGCAGAGAAUGUCAGAUGUGGGCUGCACACAAUACCCACAAUCAUCACGGUAAUGGCGACGACCCUACACAUUUCGCGACUGGAGAAACUAUGGAUGAAGUAGCGAACUACUGCCGUGUUGUACUUCCUGAUCCAGAGGAUAUACCGUGGUGCUACACAACAGAUCCCAGCAAGCGCUGGGACAAUUGCACCAUAACUGAAUGCACCUAGUUGCCAUGGGACCCAUGCAGCAUAACUGAAUGCACCUCGCAGUCCCGGGACCAAUGCAACAUAAAUGAAUGCACCCAGCACUCUCGGGACCAAUGCAACAUAACUGAAUGCACCCAGCACUCUCGGGACCAAUGCAACAUAACUGAAUGCACCUUGCAGUCGUGGGACCAAUGCAACAUCACUGAAUGCACCUAGCACUCUCAGGACCAAUGCAACAUAACUGAAUGCACCUUGCACUCUCGGGACCAAUACAACAUAACUAAAUGCACCUUGCAGUCUCGUGACCAAUGCAACAUAACUGAAUGCACCUUGCAGUCUCGUGACCAAUGCAACAUAACUGAAUGCACCUUGCAGUCUCGUGACCAAUGCAACAUAACUGAACGCACCUUGCAGUCUCGGGACCAAUGCAACAUAACUGAAUGCACCUUGCAGUCUCGGGACCAAUGCAACAUAACUGAAUGCACCUUGCAGUUUCGGGACCAAUGCAACAUAACUGAAUGCACCUUGCAGUCUCGUGACCAAUGCAACAUAACUGAAUGCACCUUGCAGUCGUGGGACCAAUGCAACAUAACUGAAUGCACCUUGCAGUCGUGGGACCAAUGCAACAUAACUGAAUGCACCUUGCAGUCGUGGGACCAAUGCAACAUCACUGAAUAAACCUAGCACUCUCGGGAGCAAUGCAACAUAACUGAAUGCACCUUGCAGUCUCGGGACCAAUGCAACAUAACUGAAUGCACCUUGCAGUCUCGGGACCAAUGCAACAUAACUGAAUGCACCUAGCACUCUCGGGAGCAAUGCAACAUCACUGAAUAAAACCUAGCACUCUCGGGAGCAAUGCAACAUAACUGAAUGCACCUUGCAGUCUCGGGACCAAUGCAACAUAACUGAAUGCACCUUGCAGUCCCGGGACCAAUGCAACAUAACUGAAUGCACCUAGCACUCUCGGGACCAAUGCAACAUAACUGAAUGCACCUAGCACUCUCGGGACCAAUGCAACAUAACUGAAUGCACCUUGCAGUCGUGGGACCAAUGCAACAUAACUGAAUGCACCUUGCAGGCUCGGGACCAAUGCAACAUAACUGAAUGCACCUUGCAGUCGUGGGACCAAUGCAACAUAACUGAAUGCAGCCUGCAGUCGUGGGACCAAUGCAACAUAACUGAAUGCACCUUGCAGUCGUGGGACCAAUGCAACAUAACUGAAUGCACCUUGCAGUCGUGGGACCAAUGAACAUAACUGAUUUACCAAGAUAUGUGGUAGCCUGUUACGAACAGCAUACACGUAGGUUGUUAACCUUGAAUCCACACCAGUGAUGAAUAGGAAACGCCGGUUUUAACGCAGGUACGGCGUGACGUCACAGUACUUAAACAACUAGCAAGGUGUUCUGCAUCAAAGGGACGGCAUUCUGAUUGGUUAAUCAUGUCCGAGACGGUGAGCUCACACUAAAAAUAGAGAUCAGUAGCCAGUGUAUUUCAAGGUGUGUUGCAAUAACCGGGAAAUCCCGCGCUAUAGAGAGAUCAACGGUUAUACAUUCAAACAUUGUCUAAUAAGUAUCAAAGUCUGUAGUAUAGUAUGUAUGAAAUUCCUUUGAAAUAAUGAGGAAGCAAUGUUGUUAGUUCUUUUAUUUUUACAUUAGUUGCAUAGGUAGAGGAGAAUUGUUUUGUUACUGUAAACAGAGUGAUGAACUAGGUCACAUAACUGCCUUGUCCACUGAAGGCAAUCAGCUGUGUAGACAAACCUUUGUGGAAGGCAGCCCUCUGUCUGUAUCCACACACAAGUACGUUUGUCAUUGAAUGUAGCCCAGCUCCGUCUCUAUAGUUAUGAAUGGCUAUGUAGUUGAUAAAUAUUUAAGCUCUAUUUACAUCGUGUAGGCUUCAUUUCACGUGUAACCAUGCCUGCUGACGGAUGGAAAGCAUAUGUGUCUACUAUUUAUUUUAACCUUGCUAUAGGCAAAUGACAUUUGAGGAAAUCAUUAUUAUUUGGGGAUUCGUUACAUAAUACACCGGACGCUUGGACAACGAGGUCGUGUUAUCGUCCGUGAGGUCGGGUCUGAUUGUAUCAGUGUAGGGUUUCACAUCUCCAUGUCCCUGAAUGUCAUCUCUGUAGCGCAUACAUAUCAUCAUGACCUGUUGUAGGACAUGGAGGUCGGUUCUUCCAACUCUACUGAUCCCACCUGAUCUUCAGCACUAUCCAAAUAAAAACCCGUGUUGACGGGUCAGUGGGAUGCGAAUGCAUGCUCCCCGUACCCUUAGACCAGCCUCGUGAAGUAGAUUACACACAAAGUAGAUACGUUGACAUCACUGUCAUUCCUCAGGUCAUUUGUGUGUGUGCUGGCAGUCACGAAGUAAUGACGUCUGAUCUUUCUAAAAUUAGAAAUAAUCUCCCUGUCGACACAGCAGUAAAUCUGCAAAUAUACGUUUGGUAUAGUAUAACUUUGGACUUUGGUCGCAAGGAAAAUGUUUGUCUAUCUACUCCCUGUUGUACCAUUCCAAAAUAUAAGUUAAAAUUAAACCCUCAGAAUCAGGCUUUCUAUCAACUUCCCUGCAAAACUCUCACUGCAGUCCAUCGAGGUUGGUACACUUUAAAACUACUCAGCCACAAUCCUUUGUCCCAGAUGAUGACAAAAAAUUCCACAGAAUCCCAAGUCAGUCGCAUUUAAUCAAAUAAUUGCAUCAGGACAAACAUGACAUCAUCAAACUCACAAAUCAUCAAAAUCAUAUUGAUGAGUUACGAUAUUGACACGUUGGCUGAUAACAGAUAUUUUUCUUUUCUUCUGUACGGUUCGGAUUCGACACUCAAGUCAAGUGUCUAUCACCGUCACAUCAAGUUUCAAUCUCAAUCUUGCAGAAAAUCUUGUUCGGUUGGUUUCUGUUAUGUGUUGUUGUUGUUGUUGUUGUUGUUGUUGUUUAAAAAAGCAAUCAUUACAACGUAAUGAAUUGUUGCUUUAAGAAAAUAAUUGUUUGCCGUCUUUCGAAGAAUAUUUCUUUUACGUCACGUUUGGAAAACGUACCAAGGAAACCUACCACCCCUUUCCCAGACGAGUUCAAUUACCAUCUCGUGCCAUUCCAGAUUUCUCCCUGGCAUGAAAGAGGUCGAUAUAAAAUUGGUCAUGGUAGAAGGAAGACCAACCUACAGUGUUUGAAAAAUGUAUGACGCCAGCGCUGCUUUGAAAAGAAUACUUAAUUGUUUAAAUGUAAGAUGUGUCUGAAGAUGACUCAAGAAGUACUUAACGGUACUGGUAUUUGUAUUGCAUGAUCAUGGGAAACAUCGCUGGUAGUUCUGAGAGUUAAGUAUUUGUGUCAAAAUGUUGAUGAAUUCGUAGUGAAACAAGUUCUUCAAUCCAAUGUCUUGACAGUCACUGUAACAAGAAGCAUGUCAUGCUUCACAUGUGAUGUAAUGAGUCUAUCGUCUGUCAGAAGAUUUCACUGUCUGGGUACAUCAGAUUGAAUGUCAUGCAUCGGGGAACAAUAUGUGGUUACAUAAAUACACGUUUUUCUUGGUGUCAGUACCACAUGCCCGUGCUCGUGCGUUUUACACAAGUGGUAAAUGUCCAUGCCCAAUUGGGGUUUUCGUCCCACAUCAAACUGACAAGGGUUAUAACGGGAAUAUUGUAGAAAGCGGCUCUCACUGGUACCAGGGUGUCAAACUGUUACAACACUUAAAUUGCGAGACAUGCUAUUACAAAUAGACAUUCAGGUUAAUGUUCCCUUGAAUGUACUCUGAACAAUAUUCAGGCCAGUCACUGCUGCAAUGAUGUUCGAUGUUUACCAUAACAACAACGCCAUUACACAAUGCUUCUGGAGACCAGUGAAGAUCUGGGAUAGAAUAAGUCUUCAACAACUCACGCUUGCUUAAAAGGUGACUACGCUCAUCAUAAG